rnacentral:snRNA from 1 species
GUGCUCGCUUUGGCAGCACAUAUACUAAAAUUGGAAAGAUACAGAGAAGAUUAACAAUGGCCCCUGCGCAAGGAUGACACGCAAGUUCGUGAAGCAUUCCAUAUUUUU